CAGCUCAAGGGCCUGGGUUCUGCCCCGGUAUAAACACACACAAGGGGGCGCCUACUCUGUCCAAGGUGCUCAAGGAGAAUGGCUUCCACUUCAGAUAAGGUCUCAAAACUUGAAGUCACUAGUCAAGGCCCAUGCUGGCCUUGAAUUUGAGAUAAUCCUACUGCCUCAGCCAUCUGAAUACUGGGAUUACAGAUGGAACAACUAGAUGGAGACAGAGAAUGUUUUUGGAGAAGAGUGGAAAGAAUUCCUAGGAACAGCUAACACCCUCUCAGAUUCUUUCCAGACACUGUGCUUAGGAAUGCCGGGACUUGCGUUUUUCAGCAGAGCAUUGUCCUGCAGUCCACACCUGGAUGUUACCCUAGGAAAGGUGCAGCAUGGGAGGAUUUUCCAUCCUCACCUCCACCAUCUCAUGAGGACUCUAAGGCCCUGCCACCAUAGAGACUGACAUGGGAGGAAGUGGAAGAAACCUGCCCAGGUCUAAGGGUGCACUCUGGGAUCAUUUCUGCAAGGUGGUCACCAGACAUCUAUCAGCUGCCAUCAUAGGAAGUCUCCCUGGGGAUGCCAGAGAGGGUGGAGCAUUGACCAGAGCUCCAGCCCCCCGCAGUGAAUACUGCUCAUUGCUGGGGUGCUGGGCACCAGGGAGAUAACUCACCUCGAGUUCUUGACUUUCACAUAAUGCCUUUUCAGUAACCUUGAGUGGAAUCUUCCUCACUGCUGUGUGAAAUGCUCAUACAGAGUCCUUUAGAAGACUGAGCCUGUGGGCUGGGCGCCUUGAUAAAAUGAGUGUCAGGUUGGCAACUGUGUAGUGAGGAGCACUGAUCUUGCUCUCGGUUACUCUCUCCCCACAUGUGAAAGGCACCAUUUUUAAUAUCCCAACCCUAACUACAUUUUCCUCAAACUCUCCUUUCUGCUAAUGUUUCCAAGAUUGCAACAGUCCCACUAUUGUUGGAGGCACUGAAGCUGAAUACAUGUGCAGGGCUGUGGUGUGGCCGGGCAUGGUUGAACUGAGAAUGAGACACCUCAGGGGGCAAGACAGGCCACAGCGGAGGCCAGCUGGAGACUUUCUGAAUGGUUUUCCUUAAUUAGCAUCAUCUGUUGCUCUGCGGGGUCCUUGAACCCCGCCCAAGAUCCUGCUCAGGUUUCUUGCAUUUUCCACUCAACUCCUUGCUUGUUCUGAUUAAAUAUGGCUGCCCAGGGUCAGUCAGCUGGUCAGCUAGCAGGGUUACGAGCUAUGUGGAGGCUUUCAGUCCUCCUGCAGCCCUAAAGAUCAGGCUGCUUGUCUCACUGCUUUGAGCCUUUGCUGUGCAUCCGUUUGGGAGAUUGAGGAUCUAAGUAUAGACCCCAACACACUAUCACAAAUACUAAUGUCCCAAUGUUUUGAAACAACACUAGAAAUGCAAGCAAGAGGUUGUAUCACUAUUUUAUUUUUGUAUGUGUGUGCUGGAGAAUUGAAUUCGACCUUGGGCUUACCAUGCAAGCACUUGAGCCACUGAGCUAAAUUCCUGGCCCUCAAGGGGUUAAAAUAGAGCUUUGAAAAUUAAGGUUUUUUUAAGAAGUAAAAAUCAACGUUCUCCAAGCGUAAACUGCCACCCCCAGGCAGGAGAACUCAACCCCUCCAGCCUUGUGUGGCAAUGCUUGACUGAAUCUAUAAAUGGAUGUUUCCCGGCUCUUGUUGGUUCCUUUCUAUAAAUUAAGGUCCUUCUAUAUUCAGGGUGUGUGUGUGGUGGGGUCCCUCUGCUCCGAUAUGGCAAAUUGGCAAAUGAACUCAUUUGCCCACUUCCAGGGGGCUUGUAGUUUGGGUUACGAGGAGAUAAACCUCAAAACCUAGAGAGCUGGGUUCCGAGUCAGCGAUGACUGAUCUGCAGCUGGAAACAGAGAGACUUCUUUUCUUCCUACGUUUGCCCCAUACACAGCUAGUGUUCCAAGGUAGUCUCUCCCCAGAAGGCCCAUGCUCAUUUCACACCCUUCCUGCCUUCACUGAUUUGGAUGCCGGCUGCCCCAGCCCCUCCUAGAGGUCUCCUUUCACACCUGGGAAACUACCUAUCAUUCAGCUCCCAGGUCUCAGCUCCAGACCCUUCAGUGAACCCCAGUACGACCUUGACACUAGAUCGUAGUUCAGAUUUCCAUAUUAUACGGUUUCAUAGGAGCAGGUAUCACUACUUCAGUGUAUUUAUUGCAGUUGUGAUGUUUUAUUUGAAUUGAAUAAUAUCUGGGUCUGCUUCUCCCCUAGACACAAAGCCAUUAGGGAGGUGUCUUAAUUUCUUUCCUCCCCUUGGAGACACAACAUCCGAUGUUAUUGUUUGCUUGGUUUUUUGUUCUUCUUGAGACAGGGUCUUGCUAUGCAGUUCAGGCCGGGCUUGAGCUCAUUUUGUACCCCAGGCUGGUCUCGAAUUUGCAACGAUCCUCCUGCCUCAGCCUCUGCCUCGCAGUUGGUACAGGUUUCCGUCCACACUCAACAAGACCCCAGGCAGGACAGCCGGCACAGCUGCUGGCCACAAGGUGCCAAGGAGCAGAGCGAGGGGAGGAGCCCUGAAGAGAAACCCUUUCCGGCCACAUCCCCGAGACACGCCUCUCCCUGCCUAAUCCGACUCUGAGCAGCCCAAUCAGCACUACGCCUCGAAUCACAUCGCCUCCCAGAAGCCCCGCCUACGAGCGAGCCUCUUAGAACCUCUUAGAGCUAGAGUGCUCCAUGAGGCUGACUCGCAGGGCCCGCUUUGGCCACUGGGACAUAGGUUCGCCACCCCUGCUGCAGGGAGACAGCUAGCUACUAACUAUAAACCCUAAUAGGAAGGGACUUCUCACUCUCACCAGGAAAUUCUCUGCCCUGCCUGAGGAACCUUGUGGAAUAAUCUUUUUUUUCCUCCCUACAAUGAAGUCACUAGGCUUCGAUCCACUGUAUUUGUGGCUGCAAAGUAACUACAUAAAUUGGGUAAAAUUAACCUGGACUGCCUAAGGAUUUAAUAUGGGUUAACAGAAUAAUUUAAUCUGGAGAAUAAUAAUCAAAUUUGGGGAGGUAAAAAAAAGGCUCAGAGGUCGGGGACAGAUAUAGCUCGGCGGCACAGCGCCUGCCUGGCAAGUGCAAGGUUGUGAGUUUGAUUCUCGGUUUCAAAAAAGAAAAAAGAGAAAAAAGGCUCAAAGCUGAAAUGCCACAGCCUAAGUACAUGCAGAUGUACAUGGUUGUCCACCUUAGGACCAAGGAUCUAACUCAGUUGUGUAAGUGCCUGUCUGGCAAGCACAAGGUCCUGAGUUCAAUUCCUAAUACAAAAAA